rnacentral:rRNA from 1 species
CCUACGGGUGGCAGCAGUGGGGAAUAUUGGACAAUGGGCGAAAGCCUGAUCCAGCCAUGCCGCGUGUGUGAAGAAGGCCUUCGGGUUGUAAAGCACUUUCAGUGGGGAAGAAAGCCUUGGGGCUAAUACCCUCGAGGAAGGACAUCACCCACAGAAGAAGCACCGGCUAACUCCGUGCCAGCAGCCGCGGUAAUACGGAGGGUGCGGGCGUUAAUCGGAAUUACUGGGCGUAAAGCGCGCGUAGGCGGUCUGAUAAGCCGGUUGUGAAAGCCCCGGGCUCAACCUGGGAACGGCAUCCGGAACUGUCAGGCUAGAGUGCAGGAGAGGAAGGUAGAAUUCCCGGUGUAGCGGUGAAAUGCGUAGAGAUCGGGAGGAAUACCAGUGGCGAAGGCGGCCUUCUGGACUGACACUGACGCUGAGGUGCGAAAGCGUGGGUAGCAAACAGGAUUAGAUACCCCGGUAGUC